GUGGGGAAUAUUGCGCAAUGGGGGAAACCCUGACGCAGCAACGCCGCGUGAGUGAUGAAGGCUUUCGAGUCGUAAAACUCUGUCUUUGGGGACGAAUAAUGACGGUACCCAAGGAGGAAGCCCCGGCUAACUACGUGCCAGCAGCCGCGGUAAUACGUAGGGGGCAAGCGUUGUCCGGAAUCACUGGGCGUAAAGGGCGCGUAGGCGGUUUGUUAAGUCAGGUGUGAAAGUUUUCAGCUUAACUGGAAAAGUGCACUUGAAACUAACUUACUUGAGUACUGGAGAGGUAAGCGGAAUUCCUAGUGUAGCGGUGAAAUGCGUAGAUAUUAGGAAGAACACCGGUGGCGAAGGCGGCUUACUGGACAGAGACUGACGCUGAGGCGCGAAAGCGUGGGGAGCGAACAGGAUUAGAUACCCGUGUAGUCC
rnacentral:rRNA from 1 species